GUGGAUGUAGCUCAGUGGUAGAAUACUUGCGUAGUAGGUGCAAGGCCCUGGGUUCAGUCCCCAGCACCACA
rnacentral:tRNA from 1 species